AUGAUUUUCAAAUAUUCAAUUAUGAUGCACUGAACUACUGAUUGUGUCGCACCGAAAGGUGACGCACUGAAAAACUGAAUGUGAACUACUGAAUGUGAUUAUGUGACGCACUGAAUGUGAACUGACUACGCAUUGAACUACUGAAUGUGACGCACUGAAGGUUGCAAGGAUUGUCGGGAAGACUUGGAUGGAUGGUUCGAGGGAUUAAAGACGCACAUGGAUUU
rnacentral:lncRNA from 1 species